ACGCUCGACACCUACGGGAGGCAGCAGUCGGGAAUAUUGCGCAAUGGAGGAAACUCUGACGCAGUGACGCCGCGUGCAGGAAGAAGGUUUUCGGAUUGUAAACUGCUUUAGACAGGGAAGAAAAAAGACAGUACCUGUAGAAUAAGCUCCGGCUAACUACGUGCAAGCAGCCGCGGUAAUCUGAGCGGGCUGGCAAGGC
rnacentral:rRNA from 1 species